rnacentral:lncRNA from 1 species
AGCUUUCUAAAAUCUCUUUAGGGGUGUGCGUAGGCUCCUGUGUCUAUGCCUGCUUUUGACUGCCCAGUUGAAGCCUCUUCCUAUGCCUUUUAAAAUUUCACGCACUAUAAGGAGGAAGAGCUCAGGGCUCCCAAAACUUUUUAUUUAGAGGGAAGAAUGCUAGGGAGAUGGGUAUGCAGAGGGUUGACCAAAUUGGAAGAAAAUAUUUAUUCUGUAGUUUGGUGUUGGAAAAGGGAAUUUUCCAAUCAGCCACACCUCAGUGUUGCGGCAAAAUAAUUCUUGGCUCCCCUGGAAACGCAUGGGCAAGGUAGGGCAGAGCUGCUGCUGCUGAUACUGCCACCACCCUGGGCUUCCUGCUGACUCUGGGCUACUCCCUGGGGACAACAGAUUUGCAUUGACGUCCGGGGCUGUCCAGAGGCCCUCAAGAGCCAGUUGUGAGCUGAGCCCAGUAUGGGAAAGAUCUACCUUCUGGAAGCUACUACUACGUGGUGCUUGGAAAGAGGACUCAGGAGAGUGCAGCUUGCUCUGUGAGUGGGUGACAACCUCUUGGCGACUCAGGCUCAGCUGAGGAUGGUGCCAGUGUGCCGGAGACAGCCGUCAUACUGCCGGAUAGAGUGGCUCACUUGCAUGUAUUUGGAACAAAAAAAGGAGAUGCCUGGCAGCCCCGCUCUCUGCAGUGCUGUUGAGCCACCAAUUUUUGUGGUUUUGUGACCACAAGUGCUGACUGAUGCGACAUGACCCCAGUCUUGUCAGUGAAUCAUCACCAGGCUGCUUACUGGAAACUGGAUGCAGCAAGGAAAUAGGAUUUAACCGCUCUCUGCCUCCCAGGCCCCUCUCUCACCAAGAUGAGCUCUUCCUUGCUGCCAGGAGCCCUGAAAUCAGCAUUCCCAGAGGAAAGAAGAUGGCCAUCUGGGCUUGGCUUCCGGCUCCCCCCAUCUGGCUGGAACACACAUCAGUCACGUUUCCUGCCCAAGCCCUCCGAGCAUUUGAAUGUGCUGUGAGCAGCCUACCUCAGCCUCCUCUCUUUACACAUGAAGACACUGAGGCCCAUUCAGGGCAAGUGGCAGGUCCCUGUUCUCAGAGUUGGGGCCAAGCAGAGAGUAAAGAGUUAAAUUUUAGAAUCCAGGAGUGGGGACCCAGACUGUGGCUUCUGUUAACUCCCUCAGUGGCAGUGGCGUCCUGCUAUGCACAGCCCCUCUGCUGUACUCCGAAUGGUCCCUUACGGGUAGCAGGAGAGACAUUAAAUAAUCACACUGAUGACCAAGUGAGAUAAGUGGUUUUUGAAGGAAAGAACUUGAGGCUGGCGAGGACCACUUAACCUUCUAGCAAGGGCUGGACUCAGGGAGGCUUUCCUGAGCUGCGGGGAGGAUGACAGGUUCCCUGGAGUGGUGGUGGGUGGGGGCGGGGCUGAGGGGUGGUAGCCAAGGGAGGGUGAAGGAGAGUAUUCCAGAAGAGACAACAGCUUAGGCAGGCAGGACCUCGCCAUGGAGGAAGGUGCUUUCUGAUCACUGCGGGACACCUGUGUGAUAGCUCAUAGGGAGGGGGUACUGGUAACUAAAAGUUGAUAAGGAAGAGUGGCUAAAAUGAAAAGCAGAAAAGUGAGAAUCUCAUCAAAUCCCCUCAUUUGACAGGAUUUGGACUCCCAGUAGUAACUGUCCUUAAACACUCACUCCUGACCUUACAACCCUGGCUGUUACCUGGUUAACAAGCCCCAGGUGUUGGCUACAGGUGUCAUCACUGAGAGCCCUUGUGUGCAGAUCUGCCCCAGCUCUCCCACCUGUGACUGAGGCUAGCAAGUCCCCCGUGGGCUGUAGAGCCUAGCGCUGGUGUCAGAAUCGCUUGUUGCAGGUUCAUCUUCAGUGUCUUUCCCACAGCCACAUGCUGGGGAAAGACGGCAAAGGCGCUAGAGGAGCAGGAGAACAAAGCAAGCUGCCCCAGACCACCCGGCUUUCGCAGAACCCAGAUGAUGCUCCUGUCUCCCCCUAAGUAUAACGUGUUAUGUAGUCAGUAUGAUCCCAUUCAGUGCAGAAGUAUCGCCUAGGAAUUUCCUGCCCCACCCACCCUGUUUUGUUCUUAAUGAAGUUCAAGAACAAAAUGAGAUGAUAGUCAAGUUAUGGAGCAGGCUGCAGUGGAUACAAGGGCAGAAACACAGUCUUUGGAGUUAGACCUGGGAUCUGCAUUGAUUGGUUGUGUGACUGCAGACAAGUUAUUUAGCCUCAUUAAGGAUGAAUUUCUUCGCAAAAAUUGGAAUAAUACCUGCCCCAUACGACUGUUGUGAGAAUUAAACACCGCAACUUUUGAUGUUCAAAUUCUAUUUCUUCUCCUUCUAGCAACACAUACUGUUAGUGCCAGGAACCAUAAAAAUUAUAAGGCUGUAUCUAGAGGCCUGAAAGGAAGCUAAAAUAUACAGUGUCUACUCUGUCUCUUUUCUCUUGGUUAUGGUAUCAGAGGAAAUACACAUAUUUUCUUAGCUUCAAACCACCAAAAAAGAUGAUGCAGUAAGGAGAUGGGAAAUCUAAUUUGGAAUACAGUGUGCAAAUCUUAUUUUCAAGCAGACUUUGAAAAUAAAACUCAAUUCUUACGUUAGAGGAUUAUCUGCUUAAUACAAUUAUAGGGUACCAGUUUUUGAAGUCACAUCGGGGUUAAAUAAGAUUGCAGGUUCAUGGGGUCAUAUUUGAAUGUUCUGAUACUUACAUAUGGGGUGGGAAGGAGGAAUGCAUGCUUUUCUCAAGUUAAGACACAUAAAAGAGUUGUCCUGGCCCAGGUGAGACUCGCCUUUGUGUAGCAGCUGGAGCUUCAUUCCACAGGCAGAUAGGGUGCUUGUGUCCUGAUGAAGUAAGAGAAUAUAUCUGGAAACACUUUGUGUACUGUGAAAUACUAUACAAAUGCAGGGCAGUACAAAUGUAAAUAUUAAUGUAUUUUAGUAAUAAUUUUAGCUUUUAUUUCAUCAUAUAUAAUAAUUUGUAGUGACUGGUGUGAAGUUAAAUAGAAUUAACCUAGAAUUAAUGAGUUUUGUAUUGCUCUCAUCUAUUUGAAGCAUCAGCUGUGCCUUUCAUGUUGCCUUGUGCAGCCCUGUGUAACCUCCUCUGUGCCUUUCCCAUGGAGCACUGUGUCAUAUCACAAGUAGAACUACAAGAAGAUAUUUCUCCUCAGGGCAGAGGCUGGGUCUUCCGAUUGAAUCUCCCUUCUUUCUUCAUUGAGAUCCUCUUCUUCUGGAAGCUGGUUUCACAUGGUGGCUUAGAUUUUUCCAUCUUUGUAUCUAGCACCAUUUGAAAUCAGUGUUUUAGGAGUAAGAAUUGCAGCACAGCCAAGGGUGGACUGCAGAGGAACUGCUGCUCAUGGAACUGGCUCCUCUCCUCUUGCCACUUGAGUCUGUUCGAGAAGUCCAGGGAAGAACUUGAAGAGCAAAAUACACUCUUGAGUUUGUUGGGUUUUGGGAGAGGUGACAGUAGAGAAGGGGGUUGUGUUUAAAAUAAACACAGUGGCUUGAGCAGGGGCAGAGGUUGUGAUGCUAUUUCUGUUGACUCCUAGCAGCCAUCACCAGCAUGAAUGUGUUCGUAGGGCCUUUGAGUGUGGCGAUUGUCAUAUUCUGUUGGAUAACAAUGUAUUGGGUGUCGAUUGUCAUGGGGCAGGGGAGAGGGCAGUACACCUGGAGGACCAUUUUGUCCACAUCGACACCAUCAGUCUGCUCUUAGAGGAUGCCCUGGAGUAUUCGGCGUUGAUUGCGGGGCACCCGAAAUCAGACUUGCCACCUGGACUGUCGAGGUGCAGACCCUGGGAGCACCACUGGCCCAUCUCUUACACAGGCUGACCGAUUUCUCCUGGUGUUCAGAGUCUGUUUUUGUCUAGCACCAUUUGAAAUCGGUUAUGAUGUAGGGGGAAAAGCAGCAGCCUCGAAGCCUCAUGCCAACUCUGGGCAGCAGCAGCCUGUGGUUUCCUGGAAGAUGGAUGGGCAGAGAAUAGGGAAGGAAGAUCAUGCUUUUCCCUACUAACUUCUGUAACUGCAUGUAUGAUACAUUAUUGCAGAGGUAAGAGAUAGUUUAAUGGAUUUUUAAAAACAAAUUACUAUAAUUUAUCUGAUGUUCUCUAGUUGCAUUUUGCUGAAAUGUAGUGCUGUUCUAAAUUCUGUAAAUUGAUUGCUGUUGAAUUAUCUUUCUGUUGAGAAGAGUCUAUUCAUGCAUCCUGACCUUAAUAAAUACUAUGUUCAGUUUAUCAUGUCUGUGUUUUUCAUCUAUUAUUUCCCAUUCAUAAUUCUGUGAUGAUAAGAAGUGGGUCCUGAAAAAUUAAUUGGCUGUGCAGAUCUUGCCUACUUCAUAAAGAAUUUGAAGUAGGUUACAGCCAGCCAGACAUUAAAAAUGAAGCCCAUUAAGAGAAGAAUGAAAUUCUAUGAGCCAAGAAAUAAAAUGAGAGAAAAGAUUAGGGAAGAGAAGAAAUGUUGAAGAUCAAGGCUGAGGGAUGCUCCCUACUGAAUGGGAAAACUCCUUAGUUCCACAUGGGCUGUAGACACAGCCCUUCUGCCAGCAACUGUUCCUGCAAGGAACUGGUGCUCAACUAAACAUACUGUCACAUGGUUCCUUGAAGGGGCACAGCACUGAUUUCACUUGCAUUAUAAAAGAUUGAGUGGUGCUUUUGACUAUUAGUUUAUGUCAACACUUCAAAACAAGAUGAGCCAGUUUUUUUUUGUUUUUUUUUUUUGUUUGUUUGUUUGUUUUAGACGGAGUCUCACCCUGUCACCCAGGCUGGAGUGCAAUGGCACUGUCCCCGCUCACUGCAACCUCCGCCUCCCGGGUUCAAGCAAUUCUGCCUCAGCCUUCCGAGUAGCUGGGAUUACAGGCGUGGCACCUCCACGCCCAGCUAAUUUCUGUAUUUUGUAGUAGAGACGGGGUUUCAUCAUGUUGGCCAGGCUUGUCUCGAACUGCUGACCCCGUGAUCCACCCACCUCAGCCUCCCAAAGUGCUGGGAUUACAGGCGUGAACCACCUCGCCUGGCCCAGUGAGCCAGUUUUGUAAAGCUAUUCAGAGAUUAGCCAGAUUUGAUUUGAUAGGGGAUCAAGCUUGUAGGAUCUUCAGGAAGGCGGGCUGUGGCCCCUUGAUCAGGCUUUUUGCACAGGAGGUGCAUGACUAUGAACUACCCUCAGUAGAACUCUUUUAAGCCAGUGGCUUGCAAUAAAUGAUGGCAAAUCAGCCACCUAGGAAGCCAUUUCUAAGCCCAACCCCCUGCCACAGUCUUCCUCUAGAUGGCUGCCCUGCCCAGUGGGCUGAGAGUGGGGGGCGGAAGUAGCAUUUGCUGGGAAGACUUGCCAGUACAUAUGUUGCACCCCCUCACUGCAGCUGCAGUGCUAUUUCAGGCUGUUGAUGGAAGAACCCAUGUUCUAAUCCCCAGGAUGUGGUGGGAAGACCCUAAGUGGUGGUGUUAGUUAAGACCCUAAGUUAUAUUGUUUUGUUCACUUCCCACUGAGAUAGGCUACAAUAGUAUUAAAUACCUAUAGGUCAGACAUUUUUGGGGUCUGUUGUACUACCUACCAAUUAAACAGUUUUUGAUCCGCCCACCACGCUCAAAGCUCCAGCCUAGGUGUUGCAAAUACAGACGACAGAUUUUUGCUCUCAGGAGGCCCUGAUUCCAGUCCUCAAACGAGUAAGUGUGAAAUUGAGUGCAGCAUUAAAGCACAAAAACAAUGAUUUGAGACGUCUUUUCUAUAAAAGAAGUUUAUAGCACUCUCAUUGAAUGCUUAAAUAGUGCCACACUGCUAAGUCGUGAGAAGCAAAAUGUAACUGCGGUGCCUCAAACAGGAUUAUUUUGUUUUAUUCAUUUGGAUGCGGACAGCUCUUUAUCUAAAAUUGCCAUUCUGAGGUGGUUUUGCACAAUAAAUUGGUAAUUAUGUAGACUGUUUCUUCCAGAGACAGCAUCUUGAAUCGGGUUUAUGAAGCCAUGCUAUCAACCUAGGUAGAAAAUGCUUUGUAGGACAUGGGUCCUGCUUAUCUAAAUUUUACCAGAUUUUAUUAGCUGUAAAUUUAUAAGCGGGUCUUGGUGAAUAGAUAAUGAAAAAAAUAUUGAGUGGGGAGGCUUAUUAGACUGACAGCACCUUCAAGACUCAUGCAAGUUGGACUGGAAAAUCCCACCUGUGGAAGUAAAACACUGAUGAGUCCUUAAUAAAUAUGGAUGAGACAAGUCAAAUAUUUGGCCAAUUUAGGUGAAACAGAAAUAAGUCUAGAACUGGACAAUUAUUUGUGUAACAUACUGGCCCAGACCUUCACUUUGAGAAGCUGGUGUGUAGUUUCAGGAGAGUACCUGGCAGACUAGUGUGUCCAUACUUCGAUGGAGCUUGAGAGUUUUCCUUGAACACAAAAGUUGUAUUUUUGAGUUUAUUCUAGUAUGAUGGUGCCCUACCCUAUCUUCCUAUUCAGUUCACCCAAAGAGCCUUUAAAUUAGUGUUCCCUUGGUCCCAUCCCUACAGUCUCUGGUUUUGCUGGUCUGGGAAUGGGUCUGGACAUCACUGUUGUUUUAAAGUUGAGAGCCUCUCUUCUGUGGUCUUGUUCCUAAAACGCUUUACUACUCACUGUGGUCUGAGGGCCCCCAGCACUGGUGUGUUAGUUUCCUGUGGCUGCCCUAAAAAAUUACCACAAACAUGGUGUCUUAAAACAACACACAUUUGUACAGUUACAGAUUCCAGAAGCCUGCAAUCAGCUCACUGGACUGCAAGGGCCACCCGCCCUCUCAGAAGCGCCGGGAGAGAACAGGUUUUCUUGCCUUCUUCAGCUGCUAGAGCUGCGUUCUUUGGCUUGCACCCCCUUCCUCUGUCUUCCAAGCCAGCGGGGCAGUCUUUUGCUUCAGUGGCCAUGUUGUCUUCUGGCACAGUCACAUCUCCCCCUGCCUCCCUCUUAGAAGGACCCUUGUGGUUACAUUUAGGGCCCCCACCUGGAUAAUCCAGGAUAAUCUCCCUAUUUCAAUUUUCUUAAUCUCAUCUGUAAAGACCCUUUUGCCAUAUAAAGUAACAUUCACAGGUUCCAGGUAUUAGGACUUGGAUAUCUUUAGAGGCCAUCAUACAGCCCACCACAAACAGCUCCUUAGGCACUCAUUAGAAAUGCAGAACCUCAGGCCCCAACCGAUACCUUUUGAAUCUUCUGAUUCUAAUUUAAGAAGAUCACCAUGUAACUCACUAGCACACUAAGACUUGAGAAGCACGAUGCUAUGGGAACCUAACCAAAGAAUUCUCAAGUCCCAACUUAAAUACAAAUUUACAGAGUAUUUUUCCUAGGAACGCUUUCAGGUGGAGGAGAUUAAUCAGACGAUAGAUAAUUUUCCUGAACACCAUUCUGAAGUGCUUCUCUAAGCAUUUGUUCCUGAAUUCUCUCUCAAUGAAGCCACAAGCCCCAAACACCAGGAUUACUGUUUACAGGGGUUCCUGUUUACAGUAGUUUAGCACAGGGUUUGCCACACUGCAGCAUAUUAUUAUAGUUUAGUUUUGUAAAAAGCUACAUGAGAGAGGUAAAUCUUAUAAAUGGAGGUGGAGUCUCCUAACACCAGUUUUACCACCUCUGUACAGGUUUCCCUGGGCUAUGUACUAUCGAAUCAGGAAUCAGGAAGGGCGGCUUUUUCAAAUGUUAUCUAUACUUUUGGCAAUUUGUUCAAACGUUCUGCUGGUAUGUGAGAGGGAAGGAAAAAUUGUUUAUUGACCACAGAUCCACAAUAUUAUACUUCUCCUAUACUUAAGCAAUAAGGGACAGCAUUUAAAACUCUUUUAAAAAUGUUAAUCUUGGCUGGGCACAGUGGCUCAUGCCUGGAUCCCCAGUAAUUUGGAACACUGAGGCAGGCAGAUUGCUUGAGGCCAGGAGUUCGAGACUAGCUUGGGCAACAUGCGAGAGCCCGUCUCUACAAAAAAAAAAAAAAAAUACAAAAAUUAUCCAGGCAUGGUGGUGCACACCUGUAGUCCCAGCUGUUGGGGAAAGCUAAGUUGGGAGGAUCCCUUGAACCCAGGAGGUUGAGGCUGCAGUAAGCUGUGAUUGAGCCACUGAGCUCCAGCCUGGGUGACAGAGCGAGAUCCUGUGUCAAAAAAUAAUUUUGAUUUCACGGAAGGAGAAGAGGACUAGUCUUAUACCAUAUCCCAAAUGAAAUUGAAAAUGUCUUCUGGGAAUCACAGCAAUGACUCAAACUUCUGAAUAGUGACUAGGUUUGAGCUGGUAAGGAAGGGAUUGUCAAAUGCCGUGACAGUCCACAGGAGGGCAGCAGUGCUCCGAUUUACAAAGGAUUAGUCAUACUAGUGUAACCUUUUCUGAGUGAGCCUAGAAAUUCUGAUGAAAACAGUGUAGUCCAGGAAAAAAAAAAAAAAAAUCUGUAUGUACAAUCACUCAAUUUUGAAUCAUUUCUGGAAGUUAUUAGACUCCAUGUUAAAUCCUACUUAAGUACAAGUAUGCAAAAUUUAAAAAUAUGCAGAAAAGCUCAUUCUUGGUUAAAAUGUUAGCUGAAAGACAUUACUAAGUUUUAGAAUACCAUAGAGUUGACUAUUUCCCACAAACCCUAAAAUCUACUUGAACACCACAAAUUCAUAUUCCUUCUAAUCCCAAGUCCCUUCAGCAUUCUUACAGAUUUAUUGUUAGUUACCUUACAAAGUAACUAACUGUCCCCAUGUAUUUUAUCCCAAUUUAAAAAAUACAUUACAGUCUCAAGGUCACAUAAGAUUUUCCAAAAUGCUCUAUUCAUAGUCAAUAUAAUUUUCAGGCCGGGUGCGGUGGCUCAUGCCUGUAAUCCCAGCACUUUGGGAGGCCAAGGUGGGCGGAUCACCUGAGGUUGGGAGUUCGAGACCAGCCUGACCAACAUGGAGAAACCCCGUCUCUACUAAAAAUACAAAAUUAGCCAGACGCGGUGGUGCAUGCCUGUAAUCCCAGCUACUCAGGAGGCUGAGUCAGGAGAAUCGCUUGAACCCAGAAGGUGGAAGCUGUGGUGAGCCGAGAUAGUGCCAUUGCACUCCAGCCUGGGCAACAAGAUCGAAACUCCAUCUCAAAAUAUGUGUGUGUGUGUGUGUGUGUGUGUGUGUGUGUGUGUAUAUAUAUAUAUAUAUAUAUACACACACACACAUAUAUAUAUAAUUUUCACCUAGUGUUUUAUUAAACAGAAUGCUUCUGUAUUUUUAUGUUUAUUUGAGACAAUGCUUCUGUAUUUCUAAACAACAGCUAGCCUUGUUCAGUUAGCCAAACAACAAAACCUUAAUUCAAGUCUUCAAUGAAAUUUUCUGAUUUAAUAGGCUGAAUUAAGAAAGCCAUAAUUUUCUUCUAUAAAUAUAAGCCUUUAACUUCUAUCUUUACAAGUUUAUAUAGAAAAAUUUACUGUGGGGCUUGAGAUUUACUAAUGCAUGGGUUUUCAACCUUAGCUGCACUUUGGAAUCAUUUAGGACGCUUGGAAAUCCCUACACCCAAACCACAUCCCAGAUCAAUUACACUAGAAAUCUCUAGGGGUGGGACCCAGGUGUCUGUAAAUAUCCCCCGGUGAUUGCAAUGUGCAGCCAUGGUUGAGAAACACUGAAGCCUGCUCUGAGAAAUUUAGCAAUCCGACUUAAUUCAAAUCUGCAGAGAGAGCAACAAUGAUUUUUGCAGAAACAACCAAAUCCUACUAGUUACAUAAAUUUUAUACUUUGUUAGGACUUGGGUUUUUAUUUAGCUCUACAUAUGCGAUCAUAGGAUGCAGAAGAUAUAUCUUCUACUGGACACGUAUAUAUAGAUGCUUAAAUGUGGCUAUCCCAAGGUUAGGUAAUAAUAAAGACUAUAAGAGCUGGGCAGAAAUCAGGCACAGUUUCAUGAAGGGUAAUAUCUGAGCUGGGCCUUGGAAGAUGCAUAGGAUCUCAACAGGACAGUAGGUGUUUCAAGCAACAAUGAACUAGGAAUACAGCAGAAAGCACAGGGGAAAUGGUCAGGCUUGACUGAGAGUAGGUUAUUUGAAGAAGUGCAAUAGAAAAUGCUUGGGGAAGAAAGUUGGGAUUUAAUUGUAAAAGGUCUUCAAGUAUCAGGCUAAGAAAUGUGGACUUCAUCCAGUAGGUAAUGUGAUGUCACUGGAUAUCUGUGCAGUAUCUAUGUGAUGGGUUGGGAGUGGAGAAGCCUGGGGAUACUUAAGGGUCUGAGCUAGGAGGGACAGGAGGAAUGGCUGUGGGAGUGGAAUGGUUAGAAGAUGGGCCCAAUUAGAAACAUACUUCAAUUUGAGACAAAACCCACUAGAAAUAAACACAUCAUCAUGAAACAUCUCCAAAUGUACAAU